rnacentral:lncRNA from 1 species
UAGUUGUUGCUUCUAUAAUAUCAUCAAUGUUGGUCAAAAUUCAUACUUGGCUUCUAACACGUCAAAAUUAAGAUCAAAUUUACUAUCCAAAAUUUGUAAUUGAUUUUCACAAUUGCUCAUUUGUUUGUAAGAUAUACAAAGUAAAUUAAUACCUUUCUUAAUUUAUUUGAGAUAUAGGGUUGAUUAAGUGGCUGAUGGUGUGACAAGCACAAACCAUUCUUUAUUAUCACCAAAUCAAUUGGAAUCAAGGUGGAUUUGCUCUAAGCUUACUCUACCAAUAUGGACAAAUUUUGUUCACC